rnacentral:lncRNA from 1 species
CCCACCCCUGCCCCUCUCCGCGGCGCUCACCCUCCUCAGUCCCAGUUUCUGAAAGGACUCAGCUGAGAAAGGACAACUGGGUUCCGCUUUCCUUAACCCUACACCCUUUAGCUGGAUGCUGUCAGAGGCGAUGGAGAAACGCAAAGGCUACUAGACGCAACAAUAGAAUUACCAUAUUGUUUUUCCUGGUUUGAAAGGACCAGAUGGAAAGAAACUGGGCAAGCCAAUGAAAGUCUCUGGGGAUCAUGGGAAUUGAGUGUCUAUGAAAACCAUAUUCCAGACAAGAAUAUAGUCUAAGGUUUAUGGGACUCCCCAGUACUCUCCAUGUAGAGUCUAAUGUAGAAUCCAGGAGUGCACAGAAAAGUCACUGGAUGCUGGAGUGCAAUGGUGCAAUCUUGGCUCACCACAACCUCUGCCUCCCGGGUUCAAGCGAUUCUCCUGACUCAGCCUCCCAAGUGGGGUCGUGGCAUGUUGUCCAGGCUGGAUUUGAACUCCUGGGCUUAUGCAAUCUUCUGAUCCCAGCCUCUUGGGUAGCUGGGACUACAGGCAUGCACCAUAAUACCUGGCCAAAAGGACACAGCAAGAGGCAACAUUUUGGAAGCAGAGGGCAACUCUCACUGGAAACCAAAUCUCCUGGCACCUUGAUCUUGGAUUUUACAGCCUCCAGAACUGAUAGCUGGGAGGCAUUACAUAGUCAUGUGCGAGGUCAAAACUGAGUCACCACCACAACCAAGUUCCAGCUGGCAAGAAGAGGAAAAAUAACACAGAGGAGUUAUGACCAGUGUUGUAAGGAUCUGGCCUAGAAAUGGCAUGCAUCUCUUCCACUAAUAUCCUAUUGGUAAAAAUGUAGUCACAUGGGCACACCACCUAUCUGCAUGGAAGGCUGGGAAAUGUUGAUCGGUAGGGCAGCCAUAUGUGUAGGAAGGAGAAAACAGAAUUUGGUGGAUACCUAGUAGUCUCUGCCAUACCCUUGACCAGAAAUUUUUCUUCUAAAGAAUUUAAUUCUAAAAGUUAUAGACAUUCCCAAAGAUAUACCUGCAAGCAUCACAGCUUUGUGUAUAAUUGCAAAAGUUGAAAUCAACAUGAAUGCCCAAAAUAGUGAAUUAUUUAAACAGAUUAUUACCCAUAUUAUGAAGAAAUACUCUGCAACUCUUAAAAAUAAAUGUAAUGUGCCAGGCGCAAUGGGAUAUGCCUGCAGGCCCAGCUACACGGGAGGCCAAGGCAGGAGGAUCACUUGAAAUCAAGAGUUCAAGUCUAGCCUAGACAACAUAGUGAGACUUGGUCUCUAAAAAAGAAAAAAAAAAAUAAAACUGAUGUAAUGAAUAUAUAAUUACAACAAAAGAGGUCUAACACUAUAGUAGAAAAGUUUGGGGCACUCAUCCCAUUCAUAAUUAUUUUACAUUUAAAUUACUGUUCCUACUUAAGUGGUGAGCUUGGUAACCAUUUUCAUAUCAGGUGAUACUGCUGCAGUAAUCAUAGCUGUUUGAAUCAGGAAUAAUCCCAAUCACAUUUUCUCUUAAUCGUUUAUUAUACUGGGCAUUGGGGUUGCAAGAUAAUGCACAGUCCGAGCUCAAUACAUGUCUUCAUGUACCUGUAUGUAAAUCCCACUUUUAUUCUAAAAUUCUUUGAAUAUUUUGUUUCUUGGAACCCAAUGAUCCUAAGAAAAUUAUGUACUUUUACCUGAAAAUUAAAACCAAUAUUUAUAAAAAGUGUAUAUGCAGUAUGAUACCACUUUUAAAAAAAGAUAAAUUUAUAGAAAAAAGUUUAUAUGACUGACAACAAUGUCUCUGAGUGGUAGGAUUACAGUUAAUUUUUAUUUUCUUCAUUCUACUUAUCUUUAUUUUCUGAACUUUCUACAAUGAACAUGUUUUAUUUUUACUUUUGUUAAAAUAAAUAACAUUUAAUUUGACGGAAAAUUCUAAAAAUCAACAUUUGGUAACUUAAAUAUUCAUUGGCACAUGAUUCUGUGCCUGUUUCUGGGGGUCAUUCCCAUGAGAAGAGCAGGUAGAACUUAUGAGAAUAGAGCAGUCGAAAUAUUAUAGGUUUCAUAUUUUACGGCUUUAUUGAAAACAUUGAUAUAUUGAAUAUUCAUAAAUUUUAAUUUAACUUUCUUUUAUAAUCCUUAAUGUGAGGCUAAGGUAUAAGGAGAAAGGAGAUUGGUAAGGAAGUGUGAUACAUAUUGAAUCAGGUGUCAAGGUACCAUUUGUGCCUGGAUCUGACCAAUAGACCAAGGUAAAAAUCUCAAAGAAUGAGACUUGUAAUGAGAAUGCCACAAACUUGAAUACCUUAUGCACAAAACACAAACAUUGUUAUGCAUAAUGUACAUGAACCCUGAAACAAAGAUAAUGAUUUGGACCACCCAACUGAAGUGGCAUGUUAUGUUUUUGGCAUGAACAAAAGAAACAAGAGAGAAAAAAAUCAAAAUAAUUAAAAUAAAUUGUUAGAGAAAAGUUACUUUAAAAAUAGCUAUAACGCUUUGCAAUUUCAGUAACAGUUCUGCCUCUGAUGCAAUGUAAAACAUGUAUUAGACAUUCAGGCUCCACAAUAAAUUUUAAUGAGCACUACAAAUUUAGAAUAUAUAAAAAUAUCAGUAACCUAUGAAUUCAUCAACAUAACUCACUUUUCAGUUAAGUUAGGCUGAGUUGAAAUUCUACUAAGUUUUCCCAUAUUCUUGAUAAAGGCUAAAUUUGAAAUAAUUUAUUUAGAUGACUAAUUGGCAAUUUGAUAGUAGUUACAUUUUAUGUAACACUUGAUAUAAUAACCCAAAUUAAUUAGCUCAAUAUUAUCUUCUGUGGUUUAUUGAUCCAAAAGUACAUAUUUGUUAUGUAAACUUAUACUAUGUAAACUUGAAUUAGUUUUUUGCUUCCUUGAAUUAAUAAAGCCCAUUAAUGCAAAUCUAAGCCUUCAUAGACUUUUCCAAUCCUUAGUUAAAUAUUAAAAACUGAGUAUUGUAGUUAUUUGCUAGGUAUAAAAGGUGACUCAGAGUAGAGAGUAAGAUGUCAGCAAAUAGACAAUAAGAUGUCAGCAAAAGUGCCUCAAAUUUUAACUGCGUCAAGUUAAGGGCAUUGUAAAUACUGUAGUUUUAUGUAGCUUGCAACUUCUACUGAAAUGAGUUUAAUCAUGUCUUUCACAUAGCUGAAGUUUGUGUCAAGAUUUAAGCUGAUUUUCUCAUUCUUAUCAAAGUCUCACCUGGGGGUAGGGAGGGGUAGGCCUACCUCCCACCUCUAUACUAUCAUUUUAGGAACAGACAGGCAUAAAUCUGUUCAUAUGGUAGAACACAUGAUGUUAGAGUAUAUUUUGUUGAAUGCUAUGGAAUAUUAAUAUAAUUAAUUCUAAAAUAUCACCUAAAAUAUGUCAACUGAAGAUCUGAC